rnacentral:rRNA from 1 species
UACGGAGGAUCCAAGCGUUAUCCGGAUUUAUUGGGUUUAAAGGGUGCGUAGGCGGCCUAUUAAGUCAGGGGUGAAAGACGGUAGCUUAACUAUCGCAGUGCCUUUGAUACUGAUAGGCUUGAAUGCAGCUGAAGUGGGCGGAAUGUGACAAGUAGCGGUGAAAUGCAUAGAUAUGUCACAGAACACCGAUUGCGAAGGCAGCUCACUAAAGUGCGAUUGACGCUGAGGCACGAAAGCGUGGGGAUCAAACAGG